rnacentral:lncRNA from 1 species
AGUUUCUCGGAACGAAUGAAUCAAUUUGGACCUACAAUUCGACAAUUAGGGCUAAUAUUACGUGCAAAGUGGAUACUAUGGUCAAUAUGACAGACGAAGUGAUUAACUUCAAUAGAACAUUCUAUUUCCAUGGAAACAAGUCAGGAUAUCCGGUGGAAGGCACGUUUUUUUCUGAACAAGCGCCGGCGCCCUAUGCGAUUUUAUACGGUGCACCAGGUGGCCUUAAAGAGGGUUAUGAGCUCAUAGUCUACGCCAGCGAAAACUACAGUUGCGCUGUGAUGAAUGUGACACUAACUAUGGGCUUUAGAG